GACGAACGCUGGCGGCGUGCCUAAUACAUGCAAGUCGAACGCUUUUUCUUUCACCGGAGCUUGCUCCACCGAAAGAAAAAGAGUGGCGAACGGGUGAGUAACACGUGGGUAACCUGCCCAUCAGAAGGGGAUAACACUUGGAAACAGGUGCUAAUACCGUAUAACACUAUUUUCCGCAUGGAAGAAACUUGAAAGGCGCUUUUGCGUCACUGAUGGAUGGACCCGCGGUGCAUUAGCUAGUUGGUGAGGUGACGGCUCACCAAGGCAACGAUGCAUAGCCGACCUGAGAGGGUGAUCGGCCACACUGGGACUGAGACACGGCCCAGACUCCUACGGGAGGCAGCAGUAGGGAAUCUUCGGCAAUGGACGAAAGUCUGACCGAGCAACGCCGCGUGAGUGAAGGAGGUUUUCGGAUCGUAAAACUCUGUUGUUAGAGAAGAACAAGGAUGAGAGUAAAACGUUCAUCCCUUGACGGUAUCUAACCAGAAAGCCACGGCUAACUACGUGCCAGCCGCCGCCGUAA
rnacentral:rRNA from 1 species